rnacentral:rRNA from 1 species
GACGAACGCUGGCGGCGUGCUUAACACAUGCAAGUCGAACGAAGUGGCGAACGGGUGAGUAACGCGUAAUCAACCUGCCCUUCAGAGGGGGACAACAGUUGGAAACGACUGCUAAUACCGCAUACUGAAGGAGGGGCUUGCGUCUGAUUAGCUAGUUGGAUGGGUAAAGGCCCACCAAGGCGAUGAUCAGUAGCCGGUCUUGGAGGAUGAACGGCCACAUUGGGACCGGGACACGGCCCAGACUCCUUCGGGAGGCAGCCGUUGGGGAUCUUCCGCAAUGGACGAAAGUCUGACGGAGCAACGCCGCGUGAGUGAUGGCGGCCUUCGGGUUGUAAAGCUCUUUUAAUCGGGACGCGGUACCGGAAUAGAAAGCCACGGCUAACUACGUGCCAGCAGCCGCGGUAAUAC